rnacentral:rRNA from 1 species
UACGAAGGGUGCAAGCGUUAAUCGGAAUUACUGGGCGUAAAGGGUGCGUAGGCGGUUAGUUAAGUCUGUUGUGAAAUCCCCGGGCUCAACCUGGGAAUGGCAAUGGAUACUGGCUGGCUAGAGUGUGUCAGAGGAUGGUGGAAUUCCCGGUGUAGCGGUGAAAUGCGUAGAGAUUGGGAAGAACACCGGUGGCGAAAGCGCUCUACUGGGCCUGCACUGACACUGAGGGACGAAAGCUAGGGGAGCGAAAGGG